UACGUAGGGGGCAAGCGUUGUUCGGAAUUACUGGGCGUAAAGGGCUCGUAGGCGGCCAACUAAGUCGGAUGUGAAAUCCCCAGGCUUAACCUGGGAACUGCAUCCGAUACUGGAUGGCUUGAAUCCGGGAGAGGGAUGCAGAAUUCCAGGUGUAGCGGUGAAAUGCGUAGAUAUCUGGAGGAAUACCGGUGGCGAAGGCGGCAUCCUGGACCGGCAUUGACGCUGAGGAGCGAAAGCUAGGGGAGCAAACGGG
rnacentral:rRNA from 1 species